rnacentral:rRNA from 1 species
GUUGAACGCUGGCGGCAGGCCUAACACAUACAAGUCGAGCGAGCGGCGGACGGGUGAGCAAUGUCUGGGAAACUGCCUGAUGUAGGGGGAUAACUACUGGAACCGGUAGCUAAUACCGCAUACCAUCAGAUGUGCCCUGAUGGGAUUAGCUAGUCGGUGGGGUAACGGCUCACCUAGGCGACGAUCCCUAGCUGGCCUGAGAGGAUGAUCAGCCGCACUGGAACUGAGACACGGUCCAGACUCCUACGGGAGGCAGCAGUGGGGAAUAUUGGGCAAUGGGCGAAAGCCUGAUCGAGCCACGCCGCGUGUGUGAAGAAGGCUUUCGGGUUGUAAAGUACUUUUGUUGGGGAGGCGUUAUCUACCCAGAAAGCAACGGCUAACUCCGUGCCAGCAGCCGCGGUAAUAC